rnacentral:rRNA from 1 species
CCUACGGGUGGCUGCAGUCGAGGAUCUUCGGCAAUGGGCGCAAGCCUGACCGAGCGACGCCGCGUGUGCGAUGAAGGCCUUCGGGUUGUAAAGCACUGUCGAGGGGGAGAAAAGCCCGCAAGGGUCUGAUCUAUCCCUGGAGGAAGCAAGGGCUAAGUUCGUGCCAGCAGCCGCGGUAAGACGAACCGUGCGAACGUUGUUCGGAUUCACUGGGCUUAAAGGGCGCGUAGGCGGACGGUCAAGUCGGGGGUGAAAUCUUUCAGCUUAACUGGAAACGUGCCUUCGAUACUGAUCGUCUCGAGGGAGGCAGGGGCAUGCGGAACUUCCGGUGGAGCGGUGAAAUGCGUAGAUAUCGGAAGGAACGCCGGUGGCGAAAGCGGCGUGCUGGACCUCUUCUGACGCUGAGGCGCGAAAGCCAGGGGAGCGAACGGGAUUAGAUA